GAAAAGCUUCGAGUAAUGAACCGUUUUUCAAUACAAGCUUCAGAAAGCUUCAUUUGGCCAUCACUAGGCGGGACUAUUCAUUUCCGGAGUUUUUAAAUAACUGGAAAGGGUUUCAAAUAUGUACGUCUUUACCUGAGUAGUAUCGACAGAGUAACUAGGACUUUUUAAAUUUAUUUAUUUAAUUAUCUGAAUCGAAUAAGGAAAUGCCAGAUUGGAUUUAAAAUGGGACCUUCAACAGCAGAAGGGGAAAACUACAAGAGCGAAAAAAAGGUCAUGAAGGAAUAAUUCAAAACAUCUGACAGGAAGCAGUGAAAAAACCGAGAUGAGAUAAAACGCAGUGUUACUGAAAAAAUGGAUAUACCAUUAAACACAAAAUCAAGGAGCAAAAGCAGGAGUGGGAGUGAAAGCACUAAAGAAAAAGAAGAGACAGAUGUUAGUAUACAUCCUUCAGAGAGCCGGAGUACACCUCGAGUGCUUUCUAGAAGUUUUAGCUAUCCUCCUAGAGGUUUGGGAAUUGGUGAGACUUUCAAUGCCUUGAUGCAUGACAGCGAGCAGUAUAACAUGUACAAUCAAAGACGGAAUAGUUCAGCUCUUGAUGUUCUAACUACUUGGUCAAAGAAAGAUGGUCCACAAGAGUAUGUAAUGAAGGAAAAGAGAAGAAAUAAGACAAACAAAACAGGUCUGUUGGAAGACUCCGAUUUUAUCCUUUAUGGUAAAAACAAGCAAAGUGAAAAAGAAAAGACCGAACGCUUACUUUCAGAACCAAUGUUUAAUCAAGAUUACAAUCUAAAAAAAAAAGAACAAAAAGAAUCAGAAAUGAAUAACUUUGCUUGGAAGUAUCCAUUGAUCCCCUCCACUGGGAUUUCAACAGCAAGCACUGAAGCAAUGGAACAAGAAAAGUUUGAUCAUCGUGACCUACAAUCUAGGAAAAGAAUAAUCAUACGAAACAAUAGGUUGGGUUCUUGGUUAAUUCCUUGUGUUAAACACAAGCAAACACAGACAGAAACAACAGGAAGCUUCCUUUCUAACACUCCAGGUGAUGGGCUGAAAUUUAAUCAGCUCCAAAAUCCAAAAUCAAGCCACUCUAAAUAUCCUCCUUCCUGCUCCCUCUCUGUGACUUCUUUUGUUGACGAAUCAGCAGCAGAUAGCAGCACUGCAAGUCGUGAGAGUGAAGUAAUCGUGACACACAGUAUUAUGAAGUCUGAAACCAUGCCAUACGAUUAUAAACUUCGAGGAACAUCUGGAUCUAGUGGGCUGUGCAGCAGAUCCUGCCUCUUGCCUUGUUCUCACAGCAUGGUCUCACUGAGCAAAAUACCCCGUGCAAAGAACAACUUUACACAAGUAAACAGCUCACCUGAUAUGCUGUUAAAUGAGUUUACACCAGUUAUCACUGAUGAUUUUGAUGAUGAAAACUACACGUUCCAGUGCUCCUGUCCAGGCCUGUACCAGUGCAGUGUGCCUGGUGUUUUUAAUGAAGGCAGAAGGAGACGUGCUUUACAGGACUGUCCCUUGGAACAGGAGGCUGCUGGCCCAACACCACAAGAAGCCUGCAGGACCCCUGUUUGACAUCAAAUGUCAGCAGCAGUCUGUGUGUCAGCUUUGUCUCCCACACUGUGAGCUCAUCUCCACAGGUGGAGGUCAGUUCUUGCAGGUCGCUCAUGUGAAGGAGGAGGGCAUCGAGUUUAUCACCCCUCAGCGGAUAACGGAAAGUCACGUUGUUAUAAACAUCACAGAGUUUUCUGGUUUUGGUAAUGUCAAGGAUGAAGACUCUCCUCCUGACCCAGUCCAAGCUUUGGUUCUGCUCUUCUACAAACCCCC
ensembl:lncRNA